UAUCUAAACUUUAAAUCAUCUCACAAUUGUUCUACCUACCAUUUUAUGUGAAUCCCUUGUAUCUAUGUGAUUAGCAUUAGUUUCUCAAACAUGUCUGUGGUAUUUUCUGUUCCCUCCACACCAGAGAUGAGCUAGGUUACAGGGAUUGGAAUUUCCGGUCAUCCCGCCUCAUAUUGCGACCAGAAAAGGUGGAGAGCUAGGGCAUUAGUAAAGUUGCAAAACGGGCAUGGGUGCCACUAUUAGAAGGCAUAUAGCUAACCCAACUAUGGUAUGCAGUUGAAUUUAAAGUGCUUUGAAACCUUUUUAGUCUUGUCUUACGGAGCCUAGCUAUUUUUAUUGAAAGGCGUCUUGCGCUUGUUCUUUUUUGCUUGCGGGCAAGCCUUGGUUAUAAGAUAGAAAGUUAUAGCUUUUGUAAAACUCAUUAAACUCUGGUUGAAAGAUGUCAUCCUUGCUGUUGGACUAGAACUACGACUCCAAAUCAUGGGUCUUUUGCAUCAUAUAUAGUAGAGGUGCACAAAUCGAGGGUUUUUUGUUUCUCAAAACCGGUUCAGGUAUGAACAACAAGGUCAAAAAAUGGGUAUUGAAAUAACCGUUUCGGGUGUGGAACCGGGUUUUGAAGAAUAUACAUCUAGACAAAACUAAUAAUUGAUCAAGGAAUGAAACAUUUAUAUACUAUUAUUUUUUAA